rnacentral:piRNA from 1 species
UAUAUAGUACUGCCUUUCUAAUUUCCAAG